rnacentral:rRNA from 1 species
CACGUAGGGUGCGAGCGUUGUCCGGAAUUAUUGGGCGUAAAGAGCUCGUAGGCGGCUUGUCGCGUCGUUCGUGAAAACCCGGGGCUCAACCCCGGGCCUGCAUUCGAUACGGGCAGACUAGAGUUCGGUAGGGGAGUCUGGAAUUCCUGGUGUAGCGGUGAAAUGCGCAGAUAUCAGGAGGAACACCGGUGGCGAAGGCGGGACUCUGGGCCGAUACUGACGCUGAGGAGUGAAAGCGUGGGGAGCAAACAGG